ACAGUCAUGAGUCAUGUUGUCGGUUGGUCGGGUAGAGUGUAGAGAUGCUAGAGAAAGCAAAAAGCAUGCAUGAUAGAUUGAUAGCUAUGAUAGUAAUUUGAAAACAGAAAUCAUGUGGUUAUUACUUUUUAGUUUUUAGUCAUUGAUUCUGUGUGGGAUGCACUGCUGAAAGCUGAAUGCAGAUGCGUAUAGAACUAAAGUGUAAAUUACGGUGACCUGCACUAAGAAUGUUGCUUAAAAACAUUUUUCAUCAUGCAUCAAGAGAAAACGAUUGAAUACCCGUCAUGACAGUCAGCCUCCGAAUUAUUUGCUCUCCUGCCCUCAAGCCACAUCGAACCCACAUUGCUUCUCCUUGGCACCGAAACGGAAAGGCGAACAUCUGCUGAGCAUCAUAGGCAACGCCGGAAUAUUCCGGUGGAGCGUGAGGAAAAUCUUCUUCUGAGAUUGUCUACGACAGUGAUGACCUCAUCUUUUGUUUCCUCGAACUCAGCACCAUUCCGUUCCUCUUCUUCGUCUACCACAAUAAGACGCUGCUCAACGUCAUCCACUCACCAGGUACAUCUUCGAGGACGACUUUUUUUUAUUGAAGUGGAUCCUGUUCAUCCGACGAUAUUACAUGUACCAACAGUUCUGCUAAUUCGUUCGUGAGCCGAAUUGAAGGAGGAGAGAGUAGUGGUGGUGAAGUCGAGAAAUAAGAGCCUGCGAUUCUCUCAUCAUGUGCAUAGCCACAACUCCAAACAAGGCCCACGUAACGGUGACUACAUCGGUAACAUUCUGCGCGCAUCAUCCAGCAAGGAGUUGAUAUUAGGAGCUCGAGGGAUUUACGACAUAUUCUUCUUCUUCGAGGUCAUCAUCGCCCUUGACCUUAUUUUCGGUGUCAUCGUUCGCUAUGAGGAGUGAGAAACAACAAAAGGAGGAAAUUUUCCGACAAUAAAGCCGUCAGGUUCGAGGAUCACAUCCGCUACGAGCACAACAUGUAGCGCCAUCUUUUCUCCGAUCCUACAGAAUUCACUGAAACCGAUAACAAUUUCGACGCCCAGGUUUAAGAAUUGUUUCCACGAUUACGGACGACCUCAUUAGCAGCCGACGAUGAACAGUCCUAACAAAACGAAAUACCUGCACUUCAGGUUCAACUUGAAAAUCAUUCUAACUGGUUGUCCGUUUGUAUCUACAUUUGGUGCAGGUGAAUAAAAAAGAUAAUUGCACUUUUGUUGCGAGUGGAUUUAUCCCCUGCCACCUCUACCGUUGUUGUUAAAAUAUUCCCUUUGUAGGAAACCAAAAAUGUUGUACAUUCAGGGUUUCCCAUCUCAUACCGGUCUACUACAGCAGUAGUCAAUGUUCGAGUACAGCGGCGUACAAGAUUGUCCAUGCCUUACGAUGAUUAUCGAUCUAACUCCCCCUGAACUGUUUGUCUCAAGUCUUUCCUCUUAAAUGCGACAGCACAUGAGUGUUAGUAGAUGUGUGAGUAACAGUUAAUAGUAUGUGUGUAAAGUUAGUACGUACAUUAGGGUUAUAUUAUACAGUCAUGGGAAACAGUGGGAGACGAUAUGGAGGGAGUAGUAAUCAAACCCGGGGCCAUUGGAGUUAACACUAGGUGCCAUAACCAUUUUACCAUGGUCGCACAUCCGGUAUGAACCAUAUCCGGAAGUUGAUUAUAUCCUUAAGUAUAUACGGCUGAGAUAGUUAUGAAAUAUUGGAUAUUGGAAUUAAUGUUAAUAGCAUAUUGGUUAUAGUUUCCAACUGCCACGCAGGGGUCUCGUGUUUUAUGCUUCGAUUCUCGAAAUGUUUUCGUGUACGUCAGAUUGUAAUGUGUUAUAGAUGUUAAGUUCACUGAAUCACUUAAGGAAGACAGAUAUUAAUUUUGUUAAUACGGUAUAAUUUUUUAAAUUUUUAUUAAAGUAUGUUAAUGUUUGCAUUUUACAUGCGGCCGCUGCAAAUUCUUCAAAGAACUAAACAAUUAAUUGAGAUGGAUACCUGAUGCCUGAUGGAUACCUGAUGACAGGCCGGCAAUUAAACUGGAAGUCGGCAACGAAAAUUAAUUAUCGAGAUCAACAGAAACAAAUGCAAUUGUGUGAAAUUAUAAAGGCUAAGAUGAAGAUGAGCUGUAGUCGCGAGCUGUAUCUUGUAUCCAUUCUUCUCACAGAGCUGUGUCGACUGCUGUGACUUCCACGAGUGGUCAGCUAUCAAUUCCAAGUAGCUCAUCAAGAAAAAUCAUUCAGAUCAGAUAAAUGUAUAUCAUCAUCAGUCCAAUUAGAAAAUUUAAUUGACGACCGAUGGCAAAGUUCAUCGGUUCGCGCUGAAAGAAUUUAUACGGAAUAAUCUCAAACUCGUCUACCAAUUUCUGAGCUCUUCUAUGACCCAACCCCAACGACAUAUAUACUCCGCUGUGUCAACCGCUGUGUGGUUUUUGCUUGACUGUUUGGUUGGUUCUAAGGUUUAUUCACGGGCACCCCAUCACCUUUCACGUGCUGGUUGAAAUAACACGUAAUGAAUCUGCUUGACCAUCCAUUUCUUGCAACUGGCAGACCAACCAAUGGCUGCACUGCAAAUUUGCCUAGCUCUUCAUUAAUGCCUGACUGAAAUUGUCUCUGUCAUCAUCCAUAAGUUCCUUAGCCUGCCGUCCAGUCCGGAAUACGAAAUCGAAUUACAACUGGUUAUUAGUUUGGAACCGGUGAAAUAUGUUGUUUUCAAAUUUAAAAAAAGUCAUCGAGGAGAUCAUCCGUCAACGUCAAUUCUUAUUUGCCAACCAACAGUGCCUGAAGAGUUGAUCCCGAGACCACUGUUUCAUGUCCCUUGACACGAACGAUACGAAUUACGUGUAACCUAAAAGUGAGCGAAGAUGAUUGACGAGAGUGGCGCCAUACGGAAGCGGCUCACCUCUGGAAGAUGUUUAGCGAAGAUGAAGUGGAAGCAAAAUGCAGUCAAUUCCGUAUAUCCUCCACUACCGAAUCAGUACCUCUGCUCACAGUCUGAUUGAAUUGUUGACGAGUAUGGUUAAUCGGUCCAUUCAUCUAAUUGGCCUAGUAAAAUGAAAUCCUGAUGGAUUUGGUAGUAAAUUGUUGGUUAUGAGCAUGGUUAAUUGGUCAUGAGUAUGACAGGGGCUUGGCCGCUUGGGGCACUGAAGAGGACAUCUGGUGGCCAGGUUUGUCUUCAGUUGUUGGAUCUUCUCCUUCUUCUUCGUUUCGUUCAUUGUUAGUUGGAGCGGUUGGAGCGUGGCUUUUGAGAGAAAGCCAAAGGGACGCCAUUUUCGUCUUUAUGGGAGGUUUUGAUCAUUUUGAUGUAAGCUUAAAUAGCUGUAUUGCUUGGCAGAUGCCAAAUUGAUUUCUUAGAAUUUACGAUGUGUGCCAGUUGGAUCGGGUUGGCAGUUGGAGAGCUUGCUACUAUUCUUGGUGUUACAGACAAAUCUUGGAACCAUGUUGUUGUCUACCACGUCCAGGAGCUGAGUAAUAUUUUGCAUGUGCAAUGUUUUGUAUGGCACCUUUUACUUUGGCCAUCCAAUCGGGCAGGCUGCAUGGAUUCUCAUUACUUUUGGUGGGAACAUCAAUAACAUACACUAAUUGGAGGUUAAUGUUUACGUAGCAGUGAUGUUGCUGUCCAAUAUGGCAUGUUGCAGCCUAUACUGGUGAAAGAUUUUUUGCAUUGAGUUAAACUGUUGCUGUUCCUGGUGCUGGACUGCUGGUGUUGUGCAAAAAAGUUACAUCCAGUUUUAAUUGUUAUUUGUGUCCAUGCAGUUAACUGUUUAUAUGUUGAAAAGGAACAAAAACAGUUCCUUGGUGUUGAAUCGCUGGUGUUUUGCUACAGAAGUUACAUCCAGUAUUUUGUUUACUUGCUAUUUGCUCUAUGAAGUUAACCGUUUAUAUGUUGAGAAUGAAAAAAAAUAGUAAUACGGGGAAUUUUUACGUUGAACAAAUAAUAAACAUGCCUUCGCGAUUGGGAAACCAACGAGGAGGAGAUUGGGGGGGGGGUGGUAUUUGAUUUUCAUUAACUAGAAGUCGUAGUGGUUUAAUGAUGUAGAAAUAAAAUCCUUUAUUAAUCACAUCCAUAUACCAACCCAUGCAUCCACAUCUAUUCCACAAACCCCAUAUGUCUCCACCAACAUCAAUUCCUUAAACCCCAAUUUCCCCACAAAUGUUUGUUAUGUGUGUAUAAUAUUGUUGAAUAAAUAAACUAUAUAUGUAACAUGUAAAACCCAUUUGUAUUCUGGUACGUACAUAAAUUAAAAAAUUCAAUAAACAGAGCGUCCGGUUCUAGAUCAUUUUUUUGUGCGAGGCUUUUUAGCAAGCAAUCCGCCACCCAAUUUGACAAAAAGUGAUACAAAAAGUGAUAGUUUAUUUUGGCGGUAAGUGCGUCAGACGGUCAAAAAAUUUCUAGUUCAACAGUCUCAUGAAGAAAUUUGCAUCCAGUCUACUGGUGCAAAUCACGAUUCUUUCAGUUUGAUUAUUUAGGAGAUGUGUCAACAAACAUUGUGGGUAACCAAUAAAUCGAACUAAUCCUCUUUUCAGAAUACUUUGAUGUAUGGAUCACAAGAAAAUCUAAACACACAAAGUGAUCUAAAAGACUAAAACCACUUCAAGAUAUUCUGAAAAAGUGGAUUAGUUCUAUUUUUCGGUCUAACCACAAUUUUUGUUAACACACCUGAUAAAUAAUCAAAACGAAAGAAUCGUGAUUUGUACCAGUAGAAUAGAUACAAAGUUCUACGUGUGACUGUUAAAUUAGAAAUUGUUUUGACCGUCAGACG